rnacentral:lncRNA from 1 species
UUCCUGUGGUAGUAUCUGAGAUUACCUUCAAACAGUUGAAACCUGACAAGGGUAAAAAGACUAUGCCCAUUACUCAUUGGAAGUAGGACUGAUCUUCCUUUAUUUCCUGAAUCUAUGUAAGGAACCAGUAAGGGAACAGUUUCUCACACUCCUUAAAAUGAUGAUGGUGAAGGUAUAGAACCACUACUUCAGGCCCGGUCG